CCCUAGUACGGCGAGUGAAGCGGCAACAGCUCAAAUUUGAAAGCUGGCCUUCGGGUCCGCAUUGUAAUUUGUAGAGGAUGCUUUGGGUGAAACGCCAGUCUAAGUUCCUUGGAACAGGACGUCAUAGAGGGUGAGAUCCCGUAUGUGACUGGAAAUGUUAACCUAUGUAAGCUCCUUCGACGAGUCGAGUUGUUUGGGAAUGCAGCUCUAAAUGGGAGGUAAAUUUCUUCUAAGCUAAUAUUGGCGAGAGACCGAUAGCGCACAAGUAGAGGUCGAAAAGAAACCCUUGAAAAAGUUAA
rnacentral:rRNA from 1 species